rnacentral:rRNA from 1 species
GACGAACGCUGGCGGCGUGCUUAACACAUGCAAGUCGAGCGGGUAAGGCCCUUUCGGGGGUACACGAGCGGCGAACGGGUGAGUAACACGUGGGUGACCUGCCCUCAGCUCUGGGAUAAGCCUGGGAAACCGGGGUCUAAUACCGGAUAUGACUCCAUGACGCAUGUUGUGGGGUGGAAAGCCUUGUGCGGCUGAGGAUGGGCCCGCGGCCUAUCAGCUUGUUGUGGGGUGAUGGCCGUACCAAGGCGACGACGGGUAGCCGGCCUGAGA